rnacentral:rRNA from 1 species
AUUGAACGCUGGCGGCAUGCCUUACACAUGCAAGUCGAACGGUAACAGGUCUUCGGAUGCUGACGAGUGGCGAACGGGUGAGUAAUACAUCGGAACGUGCCCGGUCGUGGGGGAUAACGGAGCGAAAGCUUUGCUAAUACCGCAUAGGAUCUAUGGAUGAAAGCAGGGGACCGCAAGGCCUUGCGCGAACGGAGCGGCCGAUGGCAGAUUAGGUAGUUGGUGGGAUAAAAGCUUACCAAGCCGACGAUCUGUAGCUGGUCUGAGAGGACGACCAGCCACACUGGGACUGAGACACGGCCCAGACUCCUCCGGGAGGCAGCAGUGGGGAAUUUUGGACAAUGGGCGAAAGCCUGAUCCAGCCAUGCCGCGUGCAGGAUGAAGGCCUUCGGGUUGUAAACUGCUUUUGUACGGAACGAAAAGACUCUUUCUAAUAAAGAGAGUCCAUGACGGUACCGUAAGAAUAAGCACCGGCUAACUACGUGCCAGCCGCCGCCGUAAUAC